rnacentral:rRNA from 1 species
UACGGAGGGUGCAAGCGUUAAUCGGAAUUACUGGGCGUAAAGCGCACGCAGGUGGCUGAGUCAGUCGAUUGUGAAAGCCCUGGGCUUAACCUGGGAAUUGCAGUCGAUACUACUCAGCUAGAGUAUGGGAGAGGGUAGUGGAAUUCCCGGUGUAGCGGUGAAAUGCGUAGAGAUGUGGAGGAACACCGAUGGCGAAGGCAGCCCCCUGGGGCCAAUACUGACGCUCAUGCACGAAAGCGUGGGGAGCAAACAGG